AUUGAACGCUGGCGGCAGGCCUAACACAUGCAAGUCGAGCGGAGCGGCGGACGGGUGAGUAAUGCCUAUGAAUCUGCCUGUUCGUGGGGGAUAACGUCCGGUAACGGGCGCUAAUACCGCAUACUCUCAGCAUCGCCUAGGUCGGAUUAGCGAGUUGGUGGGGUAAAGGCCUACCCAGGCGACGAUCCGUAACUGGUCUGAGAGGAUGAUCAGUCACACUGGAACUGAGACACGGUCCAGACUCCGACGGGAGGCAGCAGUGGGGAAUAUUGGACAAUGGGCGAAAGCCUGAUCCAGCCAUGCCGCGUGUGUGAAGAAGGUCUUCGGAUUGUAAAGCACUUUAAGUUGGGAGGCGUUACCAACAGAAUAAGCACCGGCUAACUCCGUGCCAGCCGCCGCGGUAAUAC
rnacentral:rRNA from 1 species